UACGAAGGGGGCUAGCGUUGUUCGGAAUUACUGGGCGUAAAGGGCGCGUAGGCGGCGUGUCAAGUCAGGCGUGAAAGCCCCGGGCUCAACCUGGGAACCGCGCUUGAGACUGGCAUGCUCGAGUUCGGGAGAGGAUGGUGGAAUUCCCAGUGUAGAGGUGAAAUUCGUAGAUAUUGGGAAGAACACCGGUGGCGAAGGCGGCGACCUGGUCCUUGACUGACGCUGAGGUGCGAAAGCGUGGGGAGCAAACAGG
rnacentral:rRNA from 1 species